rnacentral:lncRNA from 1 species
CAUGUUGAUUUUCUUCUCACAGCUCCAGGACCCCUUUGGAGAUACCAGAAUCCGUAGACCCUCAAGUCCCAAAUAGAAAAUAGCAUAGAACAGUCAGCCCUCUGCAUCCGCAGGACCAGGUGCCCUACUCUGGAAACAGGUGCUUUCUCUUCCAACCAGCAUUUUCUGUGCACAUGCCAGGUGCCGACACUGUUCUGAGCGCUGAAGGAUCCAAAAUGAAUAUGAUCCUUGGUUGAAAUAGUUUAUAGUCUAGAAGGAAAUGACAGCCACCAAUCACACUACCCGUGAGCGCAGGAAGGGCGCGGUCACAGGCACCUGAUGAGAGGAGGGGCUUCAGGAGAUGAACCUGAGCUGAGUCCUGAUGCAGGUGAUGCCCUGGCAGAAUUGAGAGCCCCGUGGGGAAGGGCCAUGUAAGCAGCACGGAGGCCUGCGGGGCCCGUGAUGUGACUGGAGGAUGAAGGCAGGGACGGAUCAAGAGCCGUCCAAAAGGACAGGAGGUCAGGACAGAGCAUCAGCUUGCAGGUGCCCUGGAGGUUCUGUCCCCAACUCCAAAGGGCUCUUUGGUUUUAUCCUUCAGGUGGUGAGACACAGGAAGGGGUUUAAGCCUAUCCUCAGUUACAUUCCAAGCCUGGAUCAUCUCACAGAGGCGGUCUGAGAUCUUCAAAUCCUUGUAAAAAGGGAAAAAAACCACCAUCUGGUCUUGAAGAAAACCAAAGGCUGCAAAGAGACGCCAAGCGUGGGCAGACUAACAAUGCCCAGAGCGAACUUGGCCGGGGGCAAUGAGACUCAUAAACACUAAUGUGUUGCUUUAACUUGUCCUUGGCAUCAGGAGACCUCAGGGAAACCGCCCAGCCGGCUCAUUCUCCUUUGUCCCUGCCUCUUCCUCUUCUUUCUCACCCUGGCCUCUUCCUUUGCUCUGCUACCAUUUUUUUAAUAGACCAGCCGAUGGUGGGAAAUGUGCUCUGUUUAGAGCCUGGAAAGUCAGGAAGGAAACCACUGGAUUAAACUGAACUCUGAGUGUCAUGCUCACGGCAACCCGCCCCGCUCCGCCCCGGCCGCUCCGAGUUUAGGGGGCUCAUGCGGAGCCCGUGUCGGUUUCAGGGCACAGCAGGACGUCCACGUCGCGCCUGCCCACCCUCCCCGAAGCCGGCUCGGGCCCAGCCCCGGCCGCGGCCUGAGUCACAUGCGCUGGAUGGUCCAGACCCGGGAGGCGGAGGAGGAUGUGGUGCCACGCAGCCAAGUGUCCCCGUCUGACCUCUUGCUCUUUUUCUGUCCCCAGGGAUAGGUGGAGCUUUCCUGCCCACAGAACUGAACUUCCGUUUCCCUUCCUUCCCAAGGCUGCCCUCCUGCCCAGCCCCGGGGAGAACGCGACGGAGUGUCUCGGGCCUCAGUCUACAGCAUCCCUUUUUUCUCAAAACCUAGGGCUUUGACGGGCCACCGGGACACUGCAGGUUGAAAGGCUAGCGGCGUCCCCUCCUCUGCUGGUACCUUGUGUAUUUGUGUAUUGGCGCAUCCCGCCUCCCUCCGGGUGAGGCUCAGGCCCUGGCAGGACCCUGUGAGCCUGCCCCGCUGGGAGCAUCUCUGCAACCCAAGCUCACCCUGGCCAGACCUGGGAGCCCCUGGCUGGCUCUUCCAACCGCUUGCAGACCCAGAGGAAACCCCGCCCCUCCGGGCGUGACUCCGCCCCCACAGCGACACCGUCCAGAGGGACCAGGGGACACAACCUGGAGGUGAGGGGAGGUCAUGGCUGCGGAGCUCCCUGGAAGCACAGAGGGAAAGGAGACCCAAGCGCCUGCUCUGGGUCGUCCCCGGGCUCCGCUGUUCCCCAGGUCCUGCCAGGCUGUCCCUGUCACCAAGAACCCCGCGGUGUUUUUCCCGAAGCCGUGACUCUCUGAACAAGUGAUAUGCUUUCCUUUCCCUUCCUUUUCAUAGCACCUUCCAGAAGCACUAGCAGGUAAGCGCUGCCCACGACAGUUUGACCAACAGUGUCCCGCUGGCCUCAGAGUAACACUGACCCAUUCAUUUGGUUGGUUAUUCCCCGCUGGCCUGGGCAGGUUUAUAAUCACCUCUCUGUCUAAAGCCCCCAAAGAAAACCAUUCCUCAAUCCUACCUCGGAGGAGAGCACCUUCAGAUCUGCAGAUCCCCGCGAAACGUUUCAUCAGAAGGUGAGCCAUCGCCGCACGACCACCGAGAGGAAAGAAGUUCCCACUGGGACUCGGCAGCAUUCGGAGUUCCCGGGCUUAACCGACACGGCUGGGCAGGCAUCAAAUCUGCAUCCCAGAGCUCCAGAGAGGCCACCAAUCCUGUUGCACCACAGUAGGAACUCCACUAGCCUUCAAUUUCUAAAGUGACCUGGGUGAGUGAUGGGGUUUAGGCUUGGAAGUGGAACUAGAGGUUAGUAGAUGGACAGUGGCAACUGUGGGUCUCAGCACCUUAUUCAGGUGAGUUACUAUUAAGUGACCAAGCCUGGGCAGGGCAGGACUGGGUUCUAGGUGCAUCUCAGUAUAUUAGAGAAAACAAGGACAGUGUAAUUUUUAAGUACCUUUUAAAUAAUUUCAGUGAUCUUAACCAUAGAUGCUGUGGCAAAGAUAAUGUAAAACAAAUGAGCAAUUUUACCCACGGGGGGGGGGGGCAGGAGGGUUCUUCCAGAAACUGCUAGAUCCCUAGCUCAUGUGAAUGCCUGGAACCCCGUUCCCUGUCCCCCCAGUUGAUAUGGACUCACACACACUUGUGCAUGUGCACACACACACGUGCACACAUGCACACACAUGUCAAGAGCCAAAAGCUCUGGCUGUAGGACUGGCACUCACCUUGCUGUGUCCAGGUUUGGGAUCUGGGGUCUCUGACUCCCUGCUUGGAACUGCAUGAGCCCUGAUCCUUGGCGCCUGCCUGAUGGAGACAAGGCUGAUCUGAGACUCCUGUCCUGUAUGUUGCAGGGUUUUCACCCCAGCUAGGUUUGCUCCUUGCAACGUGACUUCUGUUUGCAGAACUUUCCUGCCCAGCAGACUCUUAAUUCCAUGUUCUACUGGCACUGCACCCAGGUGUCGAGUGUGUCUUGGUGAGGCAUCUCGCUCCAGGUGGGGCACCCACAGUGAGUGCCACCAGUACCCUCAACAGAGGCAGGCUGUGCCUUUCAUUCAUGCUUCACCGGGUGGUGAGGAGGCUGGCAGGUGCUGGGUGACAGUACUUAAUACCAAUUACCUAUUCCAAUGGUUUCCUCCGUCCCCCUUUUCCUAACUUACCCGUGGCUAUAAAUAUACCAUAUAUAGAUAACUUGGAGGAUUCAGUGAGUAAUACUUACAUAAGCUCCACGAAAGCCAGAACUAGUAUCUCCCAAGGCCCGAUGCUUGGCACAUGGGCAGUGUUCAAAAAAUACUUGUUGGGUGAGUGAAUGUGAGUAAUGCAGUGAUCCCUCCCGCUUUAUGCUGUUCCCUCCACGCUGACGGAUCACGUAGCACAGUUUCCCAAUCCGGCCCCCAUCCCUCUCUGCCUUGGCCUGCGGAAAGGACGAGCGUUUCCUCUUGGAGAGUUUCGUACCCAGCAUCAGGGCGCUUCCCCUCAAGUCAGUCCCCGUAAGCAGGCCUGCUACUGACAGGCCGCCCUGCUGGCUCCGUGUCCCGUAGGGGAACACAGGCUGCGGUUUCGUUCGGCCUCUUGGCCCGAUGGCCGCACGGCAUCUCCGGCGGAGCGAGGGCGCGGUGCCGGGUGUGUCCUGCGCAUGCUCGCUCCAGCCCCAAGUUCCUUUCUGAAGGUGAACAUCCCCGACCUCAGGGCCAGUGUAUCCGCGAGGCCCAUGAAGCCUCUUAAAGACCCACAAAAAGGUUUUAAUUUUCUUUUGAAAUCAGAAGAAAAGGGAGAUAAUAACACCUGUAUACGAAUGAUUCCAAUCUGGAUUAUGUUCAUCUUUAUACCAACACAGUCGUUAGAUACUUUCUUUUUUUCUUUUUUGGCUGCCUCCCCCCGCCCCCCGCCCCCAGGCAUACACAGUUCCGGAGCCAGGGAUCAGAUCUGAGCCACUGUCUCAACCCAAAGGGCAGUUUUGGCAACACUGCUGGAUCCUUAACCCAUGGUGCCCAGCUAGGGCUCAAACCUGCAUCCCAGAGCUCCCAAGAUGCCACCCAUCCCGUUGCGCCACCGUGGGAACCUUUUCUGCCAUAAAAUAAAAUUCUUAUUUUAUUUUUUUAAAUGGAGGAAGGGGCCUGUGAAAGUCACAGCGGGGCCCUGAGCGUCCUGAGCAGAACCGCAGAGCUCGGCGAGCCCUCGCUGCCGGGGCCGGCUGCUCCCUCAGACACCUUUGCUCUGCGGGCAGGAAGCCGCCUUCCAGGGAGGCACAGGGCCUCCCGGCCUCCCAGCCUUCUCACUAAGGCAAACGCUGGUGCAGGACACGCUGGCCCUCCCUCCUGGACCCAAACAGGAAGAGCACACGACCCCACUCUUCUCCAGGUGGACAAACCCUCAUGUGACCUCGGCCCCUGACUCUCAGCUCAUCCAUGACUUCAUCCCCUUUCCCCUCAAAAGUCAAGCUGCAGCCCGACCUUCCCUCAGACUGGCAGAAAGAUCAGGCAUGACGUCACCGCCCCCACCCUCAUCUCCCACCCCCAGGGCCGGUGACACAUUUUCACCCCAGGGCUUCUCCAGUGUGGCUCUGCCCCAGGGUGUGGGUGUCUGGCUGGCCGCUGCUGCUCUUCCUCUCAGCCCGGAGCCAGAGGGAGGCCCGGGAACUGUGACUCAGCAGGUGGCGGCAGCACUUGUUCAGGGCUCUGCGUUGAAUAAGGAGUUUGCAGGCAAGUCGGGAGGACAAGUGAGCCAACUCACAAAGAGAAGCUGAAAAGCAAAAGGGGAAAUCCAGGGCUGACAAAUUCCUAGAAAAAAAAAAAAA